UAGGGAAUCUUCGGCAAUGGGGGCAACCCUGACCGAGCAACGCCGCGUGAGUGAAGAAGGUUUUCGGAUCGUAAAGCUCUGUUGUAAGAGAAGAACGUGUGUGAGAGUGGAAAGUUCACACAGUGACGGUAACUUACCAGAAAGGGACGGCUAACUACGUGCCAGCAGCCGCGGUAAUACGUAGGUCCCGAGCGUUGUCCGGAUUUAUUGGGCGUAAAGCGAGCGCAGGCGGUUUAAUAAGUCUGAAGUUAAAGGCAGUGGCUUAACCAUUGUUCGCUUUGGAAACUGUUAAACUUGAGUGCAGAAGGGGAGAGUGGAUUUCCAUGUGUAGCGGUGAAAUGCGUAGAUAUAUGGAGGAACACCGGUGGCGAAAGCGGCUCUCUGGUCUGUAACUGACGCUGAGGCUCGAAAGCGUGGGGAGCAAACAGG
rnacentral:rRNA from 1 species